rnacentral:rRNA from 1 species
GAAUGCUGACAUAAGUAACGAUAAAGCGGGUGAAAAGCCCGCUCGCCGGAAGACCAAGGGUUCCUGUCCAACGUUAAUCGGGGCAGGGUGAGUCGACCCCUAAGGCGAGGCCGAAAGGCGUAGUCGAUGGGAAACAGGUUAAUAUUCCUGUACUUGGUGUUACUGCGAAGGGGGGACGGAGAAGGCUAUGUUGGCCGGGCGACGGUUGUCCCGGUUUAAGCGUGUAGGCUGGUUUUCCAGGCAAAUCCGGAAAAUCAAGGCUGAGGCGUGAUGACGAGGCACUACGGUGCUGAAGCGACAAAUGCCCUGCUUCCAGGAAAAGCCUCUAAGCAUCAGGUAACAUCAAAUCGUA